rnacentral:rRNA from 1 species
CCAGACUCCUACGGGAGGCAGCAGUGGGGAAUAUUGCACAAUGGGCGCAAGCCUGAUGCAGCCAUGCCGCGUGUAUGAAGAAGGCCUUCGGGUUGUAAAGUACUUUCAGUCGGGAGGAAGGUGGUAAGGUUAAUAACCUUAUCAAUUGACGUUACCGACAGAAGAAGCACCGGCUAACUCCGUGCCAGCAGCCGCGGUAAUACGGAGGGUGCAAGCGUUAAUCGGAAUUACUGGGCGUAAAGCGCACGCAGGCGGUCUGUCAAGUCGGAUGUGAAAUCCCCGGGCUCAACCUGGGAACUGCAUUCGAAACUGGCAGGCUGGAGUCUUGUAGAGGGGGGUAGAAUUCCAGGUGUAGCGGUGAAAUGCGUAGAGAUCUGGAGGAAUACCGGUGGCGAAGGCGGCCCCCUGGACAAAGACUGACGCUCAGGUGCGAAAGCGUGGGGAGCAAACAGGAUUAGAUACCCCUGUACAC